UUCCGGUUGAUCCCGCCGGAGGUUACUGCUAUCGAGGUUCGACUAAGCCAUGCGAGUCGAAUGUAGCAAUACAUGGCGAACUGCUCAGUAACACGUGGACAACCUGCCCUUAGGACGGGGAUAAACCCGGGAAACUGGGUAUAAUACCCGAUAGGUCUCGAUUGCUGGAAUGCAUCGAGAUUUAAAGCUCCGGCGCCUAAGGAUGGGUCUGCGGCCUAUCAGGUAGUAGUGGGUGUAGCGUACCUACUAGCCUACGACGGGUACGGGUUGUGAGAGCAAGAGCCCGGAGAUGGAUUCUGAGACACGAAUCCAGGCCCUACGGGGUGCAGCAGGCGCGAAAACUUUACAAUGCUGGCAACAGCGAUAAGGGAACCUCGAGUGCCAGGUUACAAAUCUGGCUGUCGAGAUGCCUAAAAAGCAUUUCAUAGCAAGGGCCGGGCAAGACCGGUGCCAGCCGCCGCGGUAACACCGGCGGCUCGAGUGGUAACCGUUAUUAUUGGGUCUAAAGGGUCUGUAGCCGGCCGGAUAAGUCUCUUGAGAAACCUGGCAGCUUAACUGUCAGGCUUUCAGGAGAUACUGUCUGGCUCGAGGCCGGGAGAGGUGAGAGGUACUUCAGGGGUAGGGGUGAAAUCUUGUAAUCCUUGAAGGACCACCAGUGGCGAAGGCGUCUCACCAGAACGGACCUGACGGCAAGGGACGAAAGCUAGGGGCACGAACCGGAUUAGAUACCCGGGUAGUCCUAGCCGUAAACGAUACUCGCUAGGUGUCGGCCACGGUGCGACCGUUGUCGGUGCCGUAGGGAAGCCGUGAAGCGAGCCACCUGGGAAGUACGGCCGCAAGGCUGAAACUUAAAGGAAUUGGCGGGGGAGCACCACAACGGGUGGAGCUUGCGGUUUAAUUGGAUUCAACGCCGGG
rnacentral:rRNA from 1 species